AUUGAACGCUGGCGGCAGGCCUAACACAUGCAAGUCGAGCGGAUGAGUGGAGCUUGCUCCAUGAUUCAGCGGCGGACGGGCGAGUAAUGCCUAGGAAUCUGCCUGGUAGUGGGGGACAACGUUUCGAAAGGAACGCUAAUACCGCAUACGUCCUACGGGAGAAAGUGGGGGAUCUUCGGACCUCACGCUAUCAGAUGAGCCUAGGUCGGAUUAGCUAGUUGGUGAGGUAAAGGCUCACCAAGGCGACGAUCCGUAACUGGUCUGAGAGGAUGAUCAGUCACACUGGAACUGAGACACGGUCCAGACUCCUACGGGAGGCAGCAGUGGGGAAUAUUGGACAAUGGGCGAAAGCCUGAUCCAGCCAUGCCGCGUGUGUGAUGAAGGUCUUCGGAUUGUAAAGCACUUUAAGUUGGGAGGAAGGGCAGUAAGUUAAUACCUUGCUGUUUUGACGUUACCAACAGAAUAAGCACCGGCUAACUUCGUGCCAGCCGCCGCCGUAACAC
rnacentral:rRNA from 1 species